rfam:Sclerotinia sclerotiorum 1980 scaffold_26 genomic scaffold, whole genome shotgun sequence.
GGGCUUCUGGCGCAAUGGCAACGCGUUUGACUUCGACUUCUAUUAGAAAUAAUAGCUGAUUCCGGCAUCAAAAGAUUGCAGGUUCGAUCCCUGCGGGGCUCA